rnacentral:misc_RNA from 1 species
GAUGAAGAACUCAGCGAAAUGCGAUAAGUAAUGUGAAUUGCAGAAUUCAGUGAAUCAUCGAAUCUUUGAACGCACCUUGCACCCUUUGGUAUUCCGAAGGGUAUGCUCGUUUGAGUGUCAUUGUACUCUCACACUUCUAAUUCCUUUCGGGAUUGGGAGCGGUGGACUUGGGUGUUGCUGCUUUAGUUGUGGCUCACCUCAAAUAAGUUAGUGCAACUCUUGGUUGGACAUAGUACGGCGUGAUAAGUGUCUUCGCCGGCGCCUCUGUAAGGAGGGUGGCCGAUCGGGAGCUCUGUGCUUCAAACCGUCUUCGGACAAUCUUUGACAACUUGACCUCAAAUCGAGUAAGACUACCCGCUGAACUUAAGCAUAUCAAUAAGCGGAGGA